GGCCGGUUGGUGUAGUUGGUUAUCACGUCAGUCUAACACACUGAAGGUCGCCGGAUCGAGCCCGGCACUGGUCA